GUGGGGAAUUUUGGACAAUGGGCGCAAGCCUGAUCCAGCAAUGCCGCGUGCAGGAAGAAGGCCUUCGGGUUGUAAACUGCUUUUGUACGGAACGAAACGGUCCUGGUUAAUACCUGGGGCUAAUGACGGUACCGUAAGAAUAAGCACCGGCUAACUACGUGCCAGCAGCCGCGGUAAUACGUAGGGUGCAAGCGUUAAUCGGAAUUACUGGGCGUAAAGCGUGCGCAGGCGGUUUUGUAAGACAGGCGUGCAAUCCCCGGGCUCAACCUGGGAAUUGCGCUUGUGACUGCAAGGCUGGAGUGCGGCAGAGGGGGAUGGAAUUCCGCGUGUAGCAGUGAAAUGCGUAGAUAUGCGGAGGAACACCGAUGGCGAAGGCAAUCCCCUGGGCCUGCACUGACGCUCAUGCACGAAAGCGUGGGGAGCAAACAGGAUUAGAUACCCUGGUAGUCC
rnacentral:rRNA from 1 species